UGAAAAAACCCAAUUAAGCUCAACAGUAGGGGGUUAAAUUUUUUGCUAAAAUCUAUUGAAUUUACAAAAACCCUAUUGUUGUCAAAACAGGGGGUGAAAAACCCAAUUACCCAAAAAAUUAUCUAUAGCCCUGUGCAAAGGCCUUUAAAAUUCGGUUCAAGCGCUGAAAGGGUUAAGAUAAUCUGUUGAGGGUAUUUCAUAAAGGGUUUUAAAAGCUUCAAAUGUAUAAAAGGUUUUUGACCUAAAGUCGUAUAUGUGUUCUAAGAAUUUUAUACCCUUACCAGUUUAGGUAGAAGAAGGUAUGUUGGUAAUUUUUUUUCUAUCCUUGAGUUAUUCCAUAUAAUCGUUUUAUUUACAUGUCCUCCUUUUUCUUCGAUUUAAUCUUGUUCCAAGAGAUAAUGACAUCUCUGAGGAAUAUAUUUUUAAAAUUGGAAACAAUAUGUUUUUCAUUAAGUGCACAUUCAAAUACAAGAUUUCCACCAUAUUUAUUAAGUUCAUUCUGAUAGAAAAUUUUCCACUGCCCUUUAUUGUUUACGUCUGUUAAUCUUUUGACCCAACUGGCCUUAUUAGCAUGUAUUAGAGUAGUAAUAUCGGUGAGUUUCAGCCCUCCUUGUUCUAUUGGUUUAACUAGGGUUGUUCUUUUUUAUUUUUAUGUCCCCCACUAUAGAAGUGGGGGACAUAUUGUUUUUGCCCUGUCUGUUGGUUUGUUGGUUGGUCUGUUGGUUUGCGCCAACUUUAACAUUUGCAAUAACUUUUGCAAUAUUGAAGAUAGCAACUUGAUAUUUGGCAUGCAUAUGUAUCUCAUGGAGCUGCACAUUUUGAGUGGUGAAAGGUCAAGGUAAAGGUCAUCCUUCAAGGUCAAAGGUCAAAUAUAUGGGUCAAAAUCGCUCAUUUAAUGUACACUUUUGCAAUAUUUCAAUAUUCAAGAUAGCAACUUGAUAUUUGGCAUGCAUGUGUAUCUCAUGGAGCUGCACAUUUUGCGUGGUGAAAGGUCAAGGUCAUCCUUCAAGGUCAGAGGUCAAAUAUAUGUGGCCGAAAUCGCUUAUUUUAUGAGUACUUUUGCAAUAUUGAACAUAGCAACUUGAUAUUUGGCAUGCAUGUGUAUCUCAUGGAGCUGCACAUUUUGAGUGGUGAAAGGUCAAGGUCAUCCUUCAAGGUCAAAGGUCAAAGAAACAAAUCCAAGGGAAGUAACAAGCUUUAAAUGGAGAUAAUUUCUAUUUAUCAUUUGGCAGGUACAGAUCAUUUUUACAAGGGAAGUUAUAUUUUUUAUUCUAUCCCUUUACAAAAUAUUACUUCCCUUGUAAAAAUUACCUGUACCUGCCAAAUGAUAAAAAACAUUAAAUAAAUUAAAGCGGCGCAGUAGGGGGCAUAGUGUUUCUGACAAACACAUCUCUUGUUUCUUAGUAGCUUUGAAUUUUUUUUAAAUUUUGUGUUUAGAUCCACUUUACUUCUACAGUAUCAAGGAUAUUGCUUUCAAACUUCAAAUACUUUCAUGCUAUCAUGAGGGUACUGUACCUGUAAAUUUGAUUUUGACCUUGACCUUUGAAUGACCUUGACUCUCAAGGUCAAAUUAAUAAAUUUUGCUUAAAUUGCCUUAACUUCUUUAAUUAGGAUCAGAUUUGAUUCCAUCGUCUGAUACCCAUGUUGGACCCAUUCCGCUCCUCUCCAUUUAUCGACAGUGGGACAUUACGAACUCUUCACCGUUUUAGGGUGUCUAAUCCAGUAAUUUCAUUGGAUCCCUCACGAUUUCAUGAGGAUUCUUUACUAAUCAUACAACUCGUUCUAUAGAGACUUUGGUUUUGUUGUUAAAAUACCGUCGUCCGUAGAAAUGGAAUUUCGUCGUGCAUGUGAAUACUUUAAAAUUGACAAUUUAGACGACUUUCCGAGUAUAAUUUUUCCCUUUUAUAAUGCUACAACAAAACAAACAUUUAUUUUCUAUGGCGGCCGCCAUUAUACAGGGGAAGCAUUCACACUUCCAAAGCGAAGAGUAUUGUUUUUGUAACCUGCGAUUUCAUUGGUCUUCUGAAAGGUUACAGUUAAGGUCAAAACAGCGUGUAUUGCUUAUAUUGUCCCACGGCUAAUGCUGGAGAGUAACAGAAUGAAUUAGUAGUGGGUAUCCGACGAUGAUUUGAUUCAUACUUUGACAAACCAACACUUACCUGACAUCCCACAAUGGACUCCACCCAAACCAUCCCCCAAGCCCCACCCAAGAAUUCCCCCUCCCCCUUCCAAAUUUUUUUUCUUUUCUUUUUAUGCCCCCUUUCAAAGAAAAGGGGUAUAUAGUUUUCGCACUGUCCGUCAAUCUGUCUGUCAGUCUGUCACACUUUUCGUGUCCGCUCUCUAAUUCAAAUUAGAUCUUUACCAAACUUGGUCAGAAGUUGGAUCUAGACAAUAUCUAGGUCAAGUUCGAAUAUGGGUCAUGCCGGGUCAAAAACUAGGUCACGGGGUCACUUAGUGCAUUUCAGGGAUUUAGCAUGGUGUCUGCUCUCUAAUUGAAGUAGUUUUCAUCUGAUCUUUACCAAAUUUGGUCAGAAGUUGUAUCAAGACAAUAUCUAGGUCAAGUUCGAAUAUGGGUCAUGCCCGGUCAAAAACUAGGUCACGGGGUCACUUAGUGCAUUUCAAGGAUUUAGCAUGGUGUCCGGUCUUUAGUUUAUGUGGCUUUCUGAUUUAUUUUGAUAUUCUAAGACAUUUUAAUGCCCCCAAGGAGGGCAUAUAGUGAUCGGACUGUCCGUCCGUCUGUCCGUCACACUUUGUGUUUAGAUUUCGAAAAUGCUCAUAACUUCUAUGUCGCUCAGAUAGCAAUUUCAUAUUUGGCAUGCAUGUGUAUAUGGACAAAGCCUUUCCAUACGCAUACACAAAUUUUUACCCCUUGACCUUGAACUUAGGGUCCGCGUUUAGGUUUCGAAAUAUGCGUUUAGGUUUCGAAAAAAGCUCAUAACUUCUACCAAGUGUUUAUUGGGGGCAUAAGUCAUCCUAUGGUGACAGCUCUUGUUUUUUCUAUUUUUUUGAAAGAUCAUCUAAUAAAUGACCACACACCCACACUAUACCCUCCUCUCCAUCCCCCAAGCCCUAUUGCAGGCUAUUGCUAUUAAACUUGAAAUAAAAUCUUAUUAGUUUGUUUUAUGUCUUUACAAAUGUUCAAUAGAUUGUGGAAAAUAUACCUGAACUCAGAAUUGUCUAUAAUGUACCACUUCUUUAAAACAUAAACAAUCAGUAUGUUUCAAUUAUGGUCCUCUUCCAAGUAGAAUAUGACUAUAUUACCUUGACUUUAUUGAAUAUGAACAAUUUCCUCAUGAUGGCUUACGUUAUACUGUCAAGCACUCGAAUAGUCGAGCGCGCUGUCUUCUGACAGCUCUUGUUUGAAAAACAUGGUUGAAAAGAAGUAGGGUAGAGGCGCAUUUUUUCAUUUAAUGGCUAUGAUUAAAUUGUGUUAUAUAAUUUCAUAUUAUUUGCCAACUUGUUCCAGGGUUGUUUUUUUUCUCAAACGAGUUCGUGUCCGUGGAGCACUUUUCCUUGCAUGACAAUACGACAAGUAUGUUAAUACAAUUUCGUCACAAUGUCGACCCAAUCUUUAUGGAACUUGCUCAAACAUUUUUUUCUAAUGAUAUCUAAGCCUAGUUCAAAAAUGGUUCCCGUUGGCGUUCCAUCAGUCACCAAAUAAGUAGUUUGAGAAAGCAAGUCUUAUUAAUUUGUAUUAUUACUUUAGACCUAGAAAAUGUUUCUACUCUGCCUACAGAAAACUUAGAAUGUGAACAAGCCCAGUCUAUAACAUACCAGUACAGGACUUGAUUGGUUGAUCUAAGAGCGGUAUUUAUCCUUUUAAAAAACAUGGGUCUAAGUGGGCGGAACAUUUUCUUUAUAUGUCUAGAGUGAACCUUGUUAAUACUAUGUAUAUUUGUCGUCCACUCUUGUUUAGAAUAAUUGUUUUUAUUAACCAGGUUUUCCGAAGGAAAAAACUGGUAAUUAGAUUGGCGAAUGCGGGCAGGCUGGCGAUCUUUACUAAACUUGGUCAGAAGUUGUAUCUAGACAAUAUCUAGGUCAAGUUCGAAUAUGGGUCAUGCCGGGUUAAAAACUAGGUCACGGGGUCACUUAGUGCGUUUUAAACAUUGAGCAUGUUGUCCGCUCUCUAAUUCAAAUAGUUUUCAUCCGAUCUUUACGAAACUUGGUCAGAAGUUGUAUUUAGACAAUAUCUAGGUUAAGUUUGAAUAUGGGUCAGAAACUAGGUCAGGGGGUCGAAAAACAGAUUGAUUUUGAAACAAGGGGGGUAAUUGUGAUGAACAAUCAGUAGCAUUGCACAUUUUGAGUUGCAGUUGUCUCCUUUUAUCAGACUUUUUUUUAUUGAAAACCUGCUUUUGUGACAAUUUUGUCCCUUGUUUGUCUCAUAAAUUAAUGUAUGUCUGAUAAACAUGUAUUGGAAAGAAGUAGCAGUCAGCCAUUUAUUUUGGAAUCGUUACUUUUUUGUACAAUGUAUAUAUUAAUGUUAAAGAACAGUGAAGCAUGUCUGAUCGAUUUAAGCAAAAUAUAUUAACAUGAUACUCAAGAAAUAUUUUUUUCUUCAUAUAUAUGUAUAUUCAAUUUUGUCUUUUGUUGUGUUUCCUUAUGAAGGGCUUAUUACAUUCUAUUUGAAUGCUA